rnacentral:rRNA from 1 species
CCCAUGUCCAGGGAGAGAGAAGAAUCUCCUGUGGAUUGUCACACUGCUUGUCUCUCUUCAUCAUCACGUAGCAGAGUGAGACAGUGAURCCUCACCUGUUGUACGUAUCUGUAUCGUAGCAUGUGUAAGAAUAAGCACCGGCUGAUUCUAUUGUGCACMCCAAGGAUCCAAGAGCUAU